CCUACGGGGGGCUGCAGUGGGGAAUAUUACACAAUGGGCGCAAGCCUGAUGCAGCCAUGCCGCGUGUGUGAAGAAGGCCUUCGGGUUGUAAAGCACUUUCAGCGGGGAGGAAGGCGUUAAGGUUAAUAACCUUGUCGAUUGACGUUACCCGCAGAAGAAGCACCGGCUAACUCCGUGCCAGCAGCCGCGGUAAUACGGAGGGUGCAAGCGUUAAUCGGAAUUACUGGGCGUAAAGCGCACGCAGGCGGUCUGUCAAGUCGGAUGUGAAAUCCCCGGGCUCAACCUGGGAACUGCAUUCGAAACUGGCAGGCUAGAGUCUUGUAGAGGGGGGUAGAAUUCCAGGUGUAGCGAUGAAAUGCGUAGAGAUCUGGAGGAAUACCGGUGGCGAAGGCGGCCCCCUGGACAAAGACUGACGCUCAGGUGCGAAAGCGUGGGGAGCAAACAGGAUUAGAUACCCGAGUAGUC
rnacentral:rRNA from 1 species